GAUCCACUAGCUCAGUCGGUAGAGCACAUGACUAUUAAUCAUGGUGUCCAGGGUUCGACUCCCUGAUGGCGCACCA
rnacentral:tRNA from 1 species